AUUCCAGCUCCAGUAGCGUAUAUUAAAGUUGUUGCAGUUAAAAAGCUCGUAGUUGGAUUUCUGGUACGCUGCGCCUGAGCCGCCUGCUUUAAGCAUGGUGUGUCUCGGAGCGCGGUUGCCAUCCUUCUAGAAAACGUUUCUAUCCUUCGCUGGACCGGAUUCGCAAUCUAGAUCUUUUACUUUGAAAAAAUUAGAGUGUUUAAAGCAGGCUUAUGCUAUGAAUACAUUAGCAUGGAAUAAUAAUAUAGGACUUUGGUUCUAUUUUGUUGGUUUCUAGAACUAAAGUAAUGAUUGAUAGGGAUAGUUGGGGGUGCUAGUAUUCAGCGGCCAGAGGUGAAAUUCUUGGAUUCGCUCAAGACUAACUUAUGCGAAAGCAUUCACCAAGGAUGUCUUCAUUG
rnacentral:rRNA from 1 species